GCCUGGAAUUUACUUUACUAAUUACUCCCUCCAUUUCAGUAUAAGGUGCGGUUUGACUAGGUGUGGUUUCCAAAACUAUACUUUGACCUAUAUUUUUUCUUAUACUACAAUGUUUCUGGCAACAAAAUUAUAACCAUAUGUAGUUUUUCAAAUACUAAACCAAUGAUGUCACUUUUGUAUAACAAAGUUUACAUCUUGUAAGCCUAAUUGUUGGUUGUAAUUACAAAGUUUGAAUCUUAAAAUUAGUGCCCACCUUAUAAAAAUAAAUGGGGGCAGUACUAAGCAUUGGUUUAGGAGGGCAUG
rnacentral:lncRNA from 1 species